rnacentral:rRNA from 1 species
AGAGUUUGAUCCUGGCUCAGGAUGAACGCUGGCGGCGUGCUUAACACAUGCAAGUCGAACGAGACGAUUGAAAGCUUGCUUUUGAAAGUCGAGUGGCAAACGGGUGAGUAACGCGUAGACAACCUGCCGCAAAGAUGGGGACAACAGUCCGAAAGGACUGCUAAUACCGAAUGUUGUCAGAUUCCCGCAUGGGAGACUGAUUAAAGAUGGCCUCUACUUGUAAGCUAUCGCUUUGCGAUGGGUCUGCGUCUGAUUAGCUAGUUGGUGGGGUAACGGCCUACCAAGGCGACGAUCAGUAGCCGGUCUGAGAGGAUGAACGGCCACAUUGGAACUGAGACACGGUCCAGACUCCUACGGGAGGCAGCAGUGGGGAAUCUUCCGCAAUGGGCGAAAGCUGACGGAGCAACGCCGCGUGAGUGAAGAAGGGUUUCGGCUCGUAAAGCUCUGUUGACGGGGACGAAUGUGCGAAAUGCGAAUAGUUUUUCACAAUGACGGUACCCGUCGAGGAAGCCACGGCUAACUACGUGCCAGCAGCCGCGGUAAUACGUAGGUGGCGAGCGUUGUCCGGAAUUAUUGGGCGUAAAGGGAGCGCAGGCGGGAAGGCAAGUCAGUCUUAAAAGUGCGGGGCUCAACCCCGUGAUGGGAUUGAAACUGUCUUUCUUGAGUGCAGGAGAGGAAAGCGGAAUUCCUAGUGUAGCGGUGAAAUGCGUAGAUAUUAGGAGGAACACCAGUGGCGAAGGCGGCUUUCUGGACUGUAACUGACGCUGAGGCUCGAAAGCGUGGGGAGCGAACAGGAUUAGAUACCCUGGUAGUCCACGCCGUAAACGAUGAAUGCUAGGUGUAGGAGGUAUCGACCCCUUCUGUGCCGGAGUUAACGCAAUAAGCAUUCCGCCUGGGGAGUACGGUCGCAAGACUGAAACUCAAAGGAAUUGACGGGGGCCCGCACAAGCGGUGGAGUAUGUGGUUUAAUUCGACGCAACGCGAAGAACCUUACCAGGGCUUGACAUUGAGUGAAAGAUCUAGAGAUAGAUCCCUCUCUUCGGAGACACGAAAACAGGUGGUGCAUGGCUGUCGUCAGCUCGUGUCGUGAGAUGUUGGGUUAAGUCCCGCAACGAGCGCAACCCCUAUCAUUUGUUGCCAGCACGUUAUGGUGGGAACUCAAAUGAGACUGCCGCGGACAACGCGGAGGAAGGCGGGGAUGACGUCAAGUCAUCAUGCCCCUUAUGUCCUGGGCUACACACGUACUACAAUGGGAUGGACAGAGAGCAGCGAACCCGCGAGGGCAAGCGAACCCCAUAAACCAUCUCCCAGUUCGGAUUGCAGGCUGCAACCCGCCUGCAUGAAGUCGGAAUCGCUAGUAAUCGCUGGUCAGCAUACAGCGGUGAAUACGUUCCCGGGCCUUGUACACACCGCCCGU